AUUGAACGCUGGCGGCAUGCUUUACACAUGCAAGUCGAACGGCAGCGCGGGCUUCGGCCUGGCGGCGAGUGGCGAACGGGUGAGUAAUAUAUCGGAACGUACCCAAGAGUGGGGGAUAACGUAGCGAAAGUUACGCUAAUACCGCAUACGAUCUAAGGAUGAAAGCAGGGGAUCGCAAGACCUUGUGCUCCUGGAGCGGCCGAUAUCUGAUUAGCUAGUUGGUGGGUAAAGGCCCACCAAGGCAACGAUCAGUAGCUGGUCUGAGAGGACGACCAGCCACACUGGGACUGAGACACGGUCCAGACUCCUACGGAGGCAGCAGUGGGAAUUUUGGACAAUGGGGGCAACCCUGAUCCAGCAAUGCCGCGUGAGUGAAGAAGGCC
rnacentral:rRNA from 1 species